rnacentral:rRNA from 1 species
CAAGUCGAGGGGUAACGAUGGAGCUCGCUCCAGGCGACGACCGGCGCACGGGUGAGUAUCGCGUUUGUAACCUACCUCUAACUGGAGCAUAGCCCGAAGAAAUUCGGAUUAAUACUCCAUAACACUAUAGUCUGGCAUCAUUUUAUAGUUAAAGCUCCGGCGGUUAGAGAUGGGCAUGCGUAACAUUAGCUAGUUGGUGAGGUAAUAGCUCACCAAGGCUACGAUGUUUAGGGGGUCUGAGAGGAUGGUCCCCCACACUGGUACUGAGACACGGACCAGACUCCUACGGGAGGCAGCAGUGAGGAAUAUUGGUCAAUGGGCGCAAGCCUGAACCAGCCAUGCCGCGUGAAGGAUGACGGCUCUAUGAGUUGUAAACUUCUUUUAUACGGGAAGAAACCCCCGAACGUGUUCGGGGUUGACGGUACCGUACGAAUAAGCAUCGGCUAACUCCGUGCCAGCAGCCGCGGUAAUACGGAGGAUGCAAGCGUUAUCCGGAUUUAUUGGGUUUAAAGGGUGCGUAGGCGGAAAUUUAAGUCAGUGGUGAAAUCCUGCGGCUCAACCGUAGAACUGUCAUUGAUACUGAAUUUCUUGAAUACAGUUGAGGUUGGCGGAAUAUGUAAUGUAGCGGUGAAAUGCUUAGAUAUUACAUAGAACACCGAUUGCGAAGGCAGCUAACUAAACUGAUAUUGACGCUGAGGCACGAAAGCGUAGGGAGCGAACAGGAUUAGAUACCCUGGUAGUCCACGCCGUAAACGAUGAUUACUCGUUGUAGGCAAUACAUCGUCAGCGACUGAGCGAAAGCAUUAAGUAAUCCACCUGGGGAGUACGAUCGCAAGAUUGAAACUCAAAGGAAUUGACGGGGGCCCGCACAAGCGGAGGAACAUGUGGUUUAAUUCGAUGAUACGCGAGGAACCUUACCUGGGCUUAAAUGCAUAACGACGGACCGGGAAACUGGUCUUUCUUCGGACGGAAUGC